rnacentral:rRNA from 1 species
GAUGAACGCUGGCGGCGUGCCUAAUACAUGCAAGUCGAGCGAACGGACGAGAAGCUUGCUUUUCUGAUGUUAGCGGCGGACGGGUGAGUAACACGUGGAUAACCUACCUAUAAGACUGGGAUAACUUCGGGAAACCGGAGCUAAUACCGGAUAAUAUUUUGAACCGCAUGGUUCAAAAGUGAAAGACGGUCUUGCUGUCACUUAUAGAUGGAUCCGCGCUGCAUUAGCUAGUUGGUAAGGUAACGGCUUACCAAGGCAACGAUGCAUAGCCGACCUGAGAGGGUGAACGGCCACACUGGAACUGAGACACGGUCCAGACUCCUACGGGAGGCAGCAGUAGGGAAUCUUCCGGAAUGGGCGAAAGCCGGACGGAGCAACGCCGCGUGAGUGAUGAAGGUCUUCGGAUCGUAAAACUCUGUUAUUAGGGAAGAACAUAUGUGUAAGUAACUGUGCACAUCUUGACGGUACCUAAUCAGAAAGCCACGGCUAACUACGUG